CACGUAGGGUGCGAGCGUUGUCCGGAAUUAUUGGGCGUAAAGAGCUCGUAGGCGGUGUGUCGCGUCGGCCGUGAAAACCUGCAGCUUAACUGUGGGCUUGCGGUCGAUACGGGCAUCACUGGAGUUCGGCAGGGGAGACUGGAAUUCCUGGUGUAGCGGUGAAAUGCGCAGAUAUCAGGAGGAACACCGGUGGCGAAGGCGGCCCUCUGGACGGAUACUGACGCUGAGACGCGACAGCGUGGGGAGCAAACAGG
rnacentral:rRNA from 1 species